GGUGAUAUGUCUGACUGCUGAUGAGGAUACUACUGAAACGGUAGUAUACGNUACGUCGCAGACAAGAGGGGACUUCGGCNCUUGCCUCAUUGCCCAUGAUACUUAGUGGGUAACGGUCACUAGGAGAUCUACUGUCUGAAGGNUGACACCCUGGAAUGAAACACGGUCAAUCUAAGGAGGAGGGAAUAUUGCACAUGGGCGCAAGCCUGAUGAAGCCAUGCCGCGUGUUUAAAAAAGGCCUCGGGUUGUAAAGUACUUCACCGGGGAGGAAGGUGUUGUGGUUAUAACCACAGCAAUGACGUUACCCGCAGAAAAACACCGGCUACUCCGUGCCAGAAGCCGGGUAUACNGAGGGUGCAGCGCUUAAUCGGGAAUUACUUGGGACGUAAAGACGCACGCAAGCGGUCUGUCAAAGUCNGAUUGUUGAAAAUUCCCCCGGGGAUUCAAACCCUGGGGGAAACUGCAUUCCGAAAAANUGGGCAGGGACUUAAAAGAUCCUUUGGUAACAAGGGGGGGGUUAAAAAAAUUUCCCACGNGGUGUUAACACGGUGAAAAAAUGGGCGUUUAAGACACGAANUCCUGGGGAAGGGAAAAUUACAC
rnacentral:rRNA from 1 species